AGUGGCGCACGGGUGAGUAACGCGUGGGUAACCUACCCUUAAAUUGGGGAUAACUCUUCGAAAGGGGAGUUAAUACCGAAUAAUAUUUCCUACGGCAAAGGUGCGUUUGAGGAUGGGCCCGCGUACCAUUAGCUAGUUGGUAGGGUAAUAGCCUACCAAGGCAACGAUGGUUAGCUGGUCUAAGAGGAUGGUCAGCCACACUGGAACUGAGACACGGUCCAGACUCCUACGGGAGGCAGCAGUGGGGAAUCUUGCGCAAUGGGGGAAACCUUGACGCAGCAACGCCGCGUGGGUGAUGAAGGCCUUCGGGUCGUAAAGCCCUGUCAGGUGGGAAGAAUGACGGUACCACCGGAGGAAGCACCGGCUAACUCCGUGCCAG
rnacentral:rRNA from 1 species